CCACGCACUGGGGAUGCAGGAGUGAACAAGACAAAAUUUCAGACUUCAUGGUGCUUCCAUUCUAGAGGACAAGACAACAAGCCUCUGUACAGAUGCUCUCCUGCCUCCCAUAGAGAAGUCUUCUGUCUCACGUGGAAAGCAUUCCUUGACACUACUGUUGCACCAGCUGGUUAAGGUACCAUGUUUUGAUGUUCCCGUGGUGUAGACAUUAUUUCCCGCCCACCCCCACCCCCCGCCCCGUGGAAGUGCUCCUCACCCAGCAUGGUGAUUGCCAUUUGCUGGUCUUUCCUGCUAGACAGGAAGUUAUUCACUUUUGUACCUGUAGCACCUGGUACAAAAGCUGACACAUAAGAACCCAAUAAAUAUUUAAUGAAUGACUGAAUGGAUGAAUAUGUGUUUUCAAAAAGGGAUACAUUUUAUGAAAAAAAAAAAGAUACACCAGCAAAAAAAUUGAGCUAGUGUUCAAUUAUUUCCUGAGAAAGACUUGGUAUACUUUUUUUUUUAAGCGAAGCACACUCCAUUCUUAUUUUUGUUGUGGUGGUGGUGUAUAUGUGUGUCACUGGGAACCUUCAUCACAUUAAACACUGUAUAGUUCACUGGUUAGGUGUAGGACUAGGUAUAAGUUUGGCUCUAGAGCCAGAUUGCCAGUGUUUAAACUCCACCUCCCUCACUAACCUGUUGUGUGUGUGUGUGUGUGUGUGUGUGUGUGUGCAUGUGUGUGUGUGUGUGUGUGUGCAUGUGUGCGUGUGUGUGUGUGUCUUUGACAUACAGCUGGACAAAGAUUUCCUUAUCUGAAAAUGAGCUUAAUAACAAUCUCUACCUCAUAGUGAUUGUUUGGAAGCAUAAAUAAGUAAAAUAGCCAAAGAGUUUGGCACAGGGUUUGACACAGUGAUGAGUAAGCAUUGGCGAUCAUUACUAUUAUUAUUUGAAGAAGGCAUUUUUAGUAUCACCUCCUAAAUAAUUUUGCAAUCCAUUAGGUAGAAUGCUUCUUGUUGCAAGGUGCUGAAAAGCCCAUCCUAAAUGCCAAACAAGACAUACCUGGAAAGAGUGGAACCAUCAAAGAUACUAUCAAAUGCCUUGCCCUCUCCAUCUCUCUAUCCACAUGCUUCUUUGUUCUCAGUUGACCACCUGAUGGGAGAGGGAAAAACCACACUCCAAGUGUGAAAUGGAAAUAUUUCCCUCAUUCUUAUUGGACCGGCAUUAAUUAUGUGACCAAUCAGAAUCACAGAAGUGGGGCAAGGGGGAAAGGAUGCCAUGUGAUUGGCUCAGACUGCUUAACAUCCACUCUAGAGCUUAGUCUUGGAUUACAUUCUCCCGAGUCAUGAGACAUGUGGAAUGUUGAAUACUUGCUCAGGAGCUAGGUUCUGUUAAGAAGAAAGAAAGGGGUGAAUGGAGGCUGAUUGGGCAAUCAGCAGUGUUUACUACAUGUACUGUUGCUGUCAGGAAGUAGGGAGAUACCUCUGUUAAUGAAAAGAAUGGAUUAGAGAACAUUGCAUUAAGCCUAGAAGCUAUGUGACCAGGUAUAAAAAAUAAAGUAUAUAUCUAUAUGUCUAUUUUACAUGUGGAUAGCUAAUAUUUAUUGAGAGACUGCUUUGUGCCAGACACUAUGCAAAGUCCUUCGUACUCACUGAUUUCCUUCAAUCUUCACAAACACAUCAUUCGUUAAUAAGGCAAUACUUAAUGAGUACAUCCCAUAUUUCAGGCACUGUCUAGUCACUAGGAAUAUAGUAACAGUCACAAAAGACCAAGACCUCAUUCUCUCAUGUCCCCUGCAUUCUGUACUUAGGAAACUGCAGCCCAGGGAGAGAGAAUGAGGUGCACCAUAUCACAGAGCUUGAAUGUGACAGAGUUGGGAUUUGAAUUCAGGGAAUCUAACUCCAACGCCAAGAGUAAGUUGGGACAGGAAAAUGUUUGGCUCUAAGUGAAGUACUGUAAAUGUGAAGUAAGAUGUUAACUGAAACUCGGUCACAGUACUCAGCCAAUCCCAGACUCCCUUCUUUCAAACCUGUUUUCCCAGAGAGGGUUCUGCGUGUCUUGGAAAAGGCCUUGCUCUGGGGGUCAGGCACCAUGACCUGCAGUGGACUCACCACGAGAGAGCACCCAGGACCAUGAAGGGCAGUCAGCAGGCUAGAAAGAGUGCAGCAAACAGAAACUGUGAGGGCUGAGGCCCCAGGAGAGCUCUGCACAGAUUUAAACUCCCCUUAAGAAUUCAUUCUUCUUCCCAGACCUCCACUCAUUGGAGCAACUUUAUUUAAUGUUACCUGUAGCUUUGCUUCUGGGAUGCCAUUGUAGCCAGCCUGCUUACCAAAAAGAGGGUUUUGUGACAUCUAGUAGGGUGAGACUCCUGGGCUUCUCAGUGGGAACCUAAAGCUAAUUAAAGAAUGAGGCACAUUAAAGGGGCACCUGGGUGGCUCAGUCGGUUGAACCUCCAACUUUGGCUCAGGUCAUAAUCUCACAGUUCAUGAGUUUGAGCCCCACGUUGGGCUCUGUGCUGACAUCUCAGAGCCUGGAGGCUGCUUCAGAUUCUGUGUCUCCCUCUCUGUCUGCCCUUCCCCGCUCAUGCUCUGUCUCUCCUUCAAAAAGAAAUAAACAUUAAAAAAAAUGAGACACAUUAAAAAGAAAAAAAAAUGUUAAUAGGCUUUACAUCCAGUGCAGAACCCAACACAGGGCUUGAACUCACAACGCUGAGAUCAUGACCUGAGCUGAGAUCAAAAGUUGGACACUUAACUGACUGAGCCACCCAGGUGCCCUGAGACACAUUUUAAAAUCUUAGUCCUGCUCAUAUUAUAUUGAUCCAUCACCUCAAAUUUUAAUGAAAAUUUAAUAUCCAACUUUGACUAGGUUACCUUGAAUUUGAGUUCCACUAAACUGAAUCAAACUUAUAUAGAGAAUUAGUAACUGUUACUGAAUCAUAUGAACUUGACUGAAUUCGAAUGUUUCUUUUCGCUAGAAUUGGUUAUUUGGUCAAGUUUAAUGUUGUUUUGUUUGCUUUUUAAAGCAGUCUUGCCGAGGCUCUCAAGCACUCACUAUGUGUCAGGCUCUGUGCUAGGCGCUGGUGAAUCAAAGCAACAUGAUUUGUCCCCCAGAAGCAGACUGAAGAUUCUUGUGAAAAUGAUUUCUUAAUGCAGUGUUCCCGGGAGACCCUCGUAAAGCAGAGGGUGGGGUUGGGGGGGCAGGAGGAUAGAACUAGUAAAGGAAGAAGGCAAGCCAGGUGGUGCUCUCAGGCAAAACUCCAGUCUUCGGCAGUUCCCGCAGAGAGCUCUGGAGGGUAACUACACCUCCAAGUUGUGUCCUACUCAAGACGAAGGAGUAGGCUUUCCUAGUCCUGUGUUAGCACUCACUGGCUACAGGCCACCCCCCCCACCCACCGCGUCUCCCCACCACCCCCGCUCAGCCCCCAGGAUGGAAACACUCAGGCUUUUCUGUCUCCCUGCACAGAGGAAAGCCUUGACUAAUCCUGACCCAGGCUCUACUGUUAGCAGCAAAGGUUUAAGGCAGCUAAGGGAGGGGAGCACAGAACCAGAAGAAGGAUGGGAGGGCAGCUGGGCAGAGCAUGGACCAGGCUACCACCUACUCCUUACAGAGUUUGUCAUCUACUGGGUUGGCCCAAGGGAGCCACGACAAGAAAACAGGUAACUAUGUCAUUAUUGUAUGUGAUGAGUGCACAUGGGCAAUGAACAGAGUGUGAUUUUUAGAGACUAACCGGUGAGUAUCUAGUUGGAAUGGUCACCAGAGGUGGACAUUGUCAACCCGCAGGCAUCCUUUACCCUUUGCUCUUCUCUCCUCUCCCCCAUGGCUUUCAAUGGAACUGCCAUCUGACCACCCUGAGGGGAUAUAUAUGAGGACCAAAGUUCUAAGAAUGGCUGGGUAGAAGGGUAGAACCAUCCCUUGUCUCUGGUGGCAUCAUGGAGCCAGUGUACCAUCCUGGAUAGUCACCUUCAGACUUCUUUUUUGUGAGGAAAACAAAACUCCUGUUUGUUGAAGCCAGAGGAAAUCAGAUUUUUCUGUUACGUGCAGCCGAAUUUAUUCAUACACACACACACACACACACACACACACACACACACACACGUGUGUGUGUGUAUAUAUAUUCUUUUUGGGUUGUUGUUGUUGUUGUUGUUGAGAGAGAGAGAGAGCACGUGUGCAUUUGCUCUGGCAGGGGAAGGGGGAGGGGGAAAAGGGAGAGAGAAAAUCAUAAGUAGGCUGCACCCCCAACCCAGGGAAGAGCUGACUUGGGGCUCUCUCAUGACUGUGAGAUCACAACCUGAGUGGAAAUCAAGAGUCUGAUACUUAACCGACUGAGCCACCCAUGCACCCCACAGCCAGAUUUAUUCUUAAGUAGCUCCCAAGCCUUGGAGGAGGGGCUGACCUUCUAGAGAAGAUCAAUUUCGCAGGAAGGAAGAAGCAGAGGUAAAUACAGAAAUAGGUUGGAAGACUUCUGACACUAACUUCUCUACAGCUGGAUAUAGCAUUAUUAUGACACUUUAAUAUAGCAGUUAUCAGCAGAGUAAGUACAAUAAGGUGAUAUAUUAUCUUUGUGGGAAUCUUCACCUGCAGUAAUGGGUUCAUUGAACCGAGGCUUUCCCAGCAUCAGCACAAUUAACGUUUGGGGCCAGAUCAUUCCUUUCUGUAGGAAAGGAAUCCUUAUAGGAUGUUUACCAGCGUGCCUGGCUUCUACCCUCUGGUGGCUGGUAGCACCCCCUCACCCUAGUUGUUGACAAACAAAAAAGUCUCCAGGCAUUACAGAAUGUCCUCUGGUGGGGAAGAGGGAGAGGCAAAGUCACACCCAGUUGAAAGCUUUUUUCUUUCAAAUAGCUAUUUAGUUUCAAUAGCUACUUAGUUUUAUCUACAAACUUUACAAUUAAUGAUAAAUUAUAUUUAAACUACAGGAAAGCAAUCUUGCUUUGUGAAGAAAGCAAUCUUUUGAUCCUUUAGGCCUACCUUCUUUUAAGUAAACAUUGAAAACAGAAUCUGCAUUUAGCAAAAAAAAAAAAAAAAAAAAAAAAGAAUAGUAAUACAAAUCACAGAAGAAACUCUUUAAGCAUGCCUUCCGUUAAGUCAUUUUUCACCAUGUACCUCAGUUUCCAAAUCUCUAAAUGGAAGAACUUAUGUAAGACAACUCACAAGUAUUUUUUCCCUUUAGAAUUAAGAUUAUUCCAUGAUUCACUGAAAAUAUUUCUGGGGUUACCCUGGACCUUAAAUGACGAUUCGGUUUACAAAAAUGUGAUUGACAUGCCAAUUUGGGGAAAAUAGGUCUAUAGAAUGAGACAUACUGUUUUUCCUUCCGAAAGUCUUGUUGAGGACUAUCAUUAUUUUAAGGAAGAAAAAUAGUCAUUGAUAUAUGUGACUAUUUUUCUUUUUAAUUCGGCAAAGCACUUGUGCUCUCAUUGAUUCAAGGUCAGGUUUUCACACUGUUAUCUUGUGAAAGCAUUCAUUAUCAGGUUCUUCACUGCUUUUUACAACUGACAUGGCCACAGUCAAAAACAGAAUACGCCAAGGAAAAAGGUCAGUACAUGCUGAGGUGAAUCAAUUUGCAUAGGGGAGAAAAAGAGAGGGCUGUUUCCAUGGCUUCUAACAGAAGUAGGGAGAGAAAUGUGAAAAAUGAAAACUAGUUUUCAGUGGCAAACAAAAUGAACUGGUCUAUAAAUAUUUCAUAAUUUUAGCCCCAUAAAGUCUCAUUGUUUGGCGGUAAUCUUUAUUAUGAGUAAUCAUGGGUUGCUUUUUUGUUUGUUUCUGGCUUUUUCUGCUGAUCUCUGUGCCAUACAUCUCUGAAAUAACACCCACUAAUUUCUUUUUCAUUUACCUCACUCUGGUAGAGAGAAUAUGUAGUCAUCAGUAGGAAGUUAGAGACAUAACUAUCCGAUUUAAACAAAUAAAGUACAUUUUUAGAGUCAACGAGUAUUGUAUAUAAAAAUGAAAACCCAAAGAUAAAGUCCUCAGUAAUGUUUUCCUUUUGGAAUAGAAUAAUUUUUAAAACAUCCUGAGAGGUUAAGGAGGUCAGCCAUACACAGAAGCAGUUAGGUUGUUUCUUGUGUCUUGGGAGGGGGUACCUGGAGCAUCAGCGACUGAGGUAUGUCAGAGUUACCCUCUUUGCUUAGAAGUGGGGCACACCUGUCUUGCCUUUACCUAUCCAUGUCCACCAUCUUUUUUUUUUUUUUAAGUUUACUUAUUUACUUUGAGAGAGAAAGAGAGAGAGAGUGCAAGCAGGGGAGAGAGAGGGAGAGAGAGAGAAUCCCAAGCAGGCUCUGCACUGUCAGCACAGAGCCCGAUUCAGGGCUCGAUCUCAUGAACUGUGAGAUCGUACCCGAACCGAAAUCAAGAGUCAGUCCCUUAACUAUCUGGGUCCACCAGGUACCCCAACCCUCUCUUGUUUGUGAACAGUACCUCAUUUUCCUUAGGCAAACCAUCCCCUCUCACCUUAAAUAGAAGAGGUCUUGUGGGGCUACCCUCAUAUGUGUAUCAGCAUCAUACCCCAAGUCCCAAUCAUGUCCAACAGCACAUUCCAUCCCUGUGGCUGUAGUGAUUGGCUCAGAGAUGAGUGCCUAACCCAGAAUGGUCCUCUGAAACUCAGUCCUGAGAUUCCUGCUAGUAUGCCUGGUGCAGGAGGCAGGUAGAGAGCCCCCUUUUUGCUAAAUGGGAAACAGUGAGAGUGUCAUCCAGGAUCUGCUGGGGUAGAUCAUUCAAGAGACCCUGGCAGAGGAGACCAACCCAACCCAAAACACGAUUGAAGACCAGCCUGAACUCAUGACCAGUCCUUGUUCUAGACUGCGUAAAUUCUUUCUUUGCCUAAGCCAGUUUGCACUGGAUUUUAUUACUUGCAAAUGAAAGAUUCCUGAGGAAUUCAGAAAAUCAAGUUCUGCAGAACCUGGAGAAGACUAAGAGCUCAGAGAUGCAUGUGGAACGGAGUUCAAAGAAGAA